rnacentral:rRNA from 1 species
UGGGGAAUAUUGGACAAUGGGCGAAAGCCUGACCCAGCCAUGCCGCGUGUGUGAAGAAGGUCUUCGGAUUGUAAAGCACUUUAAGUUGGGAGGAAGGGCAGUAAGUUAAUACCUUGCUGUUUUGACGUUACCGACAGAAUAAGCACCGGCUAACUCUGUGCCAGCAGUCGCGGUAAU